CAAGCUACAGUAUUGAGGUGACGCCUGCCCAGUGACCCCCAACGUUCAACGGCCGCGGUAUCCUAACCGUGCGAAGGUAGCGCAAUCAAUUGUCCCGUAAAUUGAGACUUGUAUGAAUGGCUAAACGAGGUCUUAACUGUCUCCUGUAGAUAAUCUAUGAAAUUAGUAUUCUCGUGCAAAAACGAGAAUGUGAACAUAAGACGAGAAGACCCUAUGGAG
rnacentral:rRNA from 1 species